GUGAAUCAUCGAAUUUUUGAACGCGAAUUGCACUCUCUGGUAUUCCGGAGAGUAUGCCUGGUUGAGGGUCCGUUUUAAUAAAUAUUGGUGUGGUUGGUGCUUUUCGUGGUGACGCAUUGGAUUUGGGUCGUCCUGUCUUCGGUUUAGUGAACUAAAAUUUUGCAUGAUUUUUUCGAACGUCUUUAAUUGAUUUUACGUAUGUUUGCGAUAUCGAAUACUAGGUGUGGUGACCAUCGUGAUUUGCG
rnacentral:misc_RNA from 1 species